rnacentral:rRNA from 1 species
CCUACGGGAGGCAGCAGUGGGGAAUAUUGGGCAAUGGGCGCAAGCCUGACCCAGCAACGCCGCGUGAAGGAAGAAGGCUUUCGGGUUGUAAACUUCUUUUCUCAGGGACGAAGAAAGUGACGGUACCUGAGGAAUAAGCCACGGCUAACUACGUGCCAGCAGCCGCGGUAAUACGUAGGUGGCAAGCGUUAUCCGGAUUUACUGGGUGUAAAGGGCGGGUAGGCGGGAAAGCAAGUCAGAGGUGAAAACCACGGGCUCAACCUGUGGCCUGCAUUUGAAACUGUUGGUCUGGAGUUUCGGAGAGGCAGGCGGAAUGCCUAGUGUAGCGGUGAAAUGCGUAGAUAUUAGGAGGAACACCAGUGGCGAAGGCGGCCUGCUGGACGACAACUGACGGUGAGGCGCGAAAGCGUGGGGAGCAAACAGGAUUAGAUACCCGGGUAGUC